UAAAAUUAAAAUAAAUCCUGUGACUCCACUGGAGUCAUUACUCAAAUGAGGAGUGUGAAAAUCUUUGUUUUAUUUAAAUUAACAGAAAAAAAUCUCAAGAUCACACUCCUACUUUUAAAAAUGAAAACACUAAUUAAACCACCAUUUUAAAUUAACAAGUUAUUCAAGAAUAAGACAUAAACAUAGUGUCUAAAGGUUGCUUAAAGUAUGGGAAAACAAGCACUCUAAUACUGCUCUUAGGGUCUAAAUUGCUGUCAAAUUCUGGAAGAACAAACUGGAAAUAUCAAAAGCUAAAAGGUAUUUACUCACCGAUAUAGCAAUUACAAUUUCACUAAUAUUCUACACAUGUAAUCAAACAAGUGCACAAAGAUAAGUGUGUUGAUUUUUUUUUGUAUCUGCAAUAGGAAGGAGAAAAAAGGAAACAAUCUAACUGCCCACCAAGAGGGACACUGGCAAAACAAAUGACACCUUCAUAAAAUGCAACAUGGAAUAUACUGUACAUUUAUGGAAAGGGAUCCAAGUUUAAAAUGUAUGUAUUUAUACAUUUAAUGUGCUUCAAUUCACAUAAAUGAUUAUGUAUUUUUCACAUAUCAAUAAAAAUUAAGAAUAGGCAAAUGAAUAAAGUACGUGAACAAUUAUAGAAAAAUAUAAAUGGCCAAUAAACAUGUUGAAAACACAGUUUGCUAGGAUUCAAAUAAAUGUAAGUUAAUCUAUUAGAUAUUGAUUUUUCCAUUUCUGAAUCUGGCAUACAUUUUGCUUUAAAAUAUUAAUUUACACAUUUACCAAAGAGGAGGCAAGUUUGCUUAUGCACAAAUGGAUUAUUAAUAGCCAUAAUCUUUCCUAUAUACACUUACAUGUGCAUAGAGUAUAUCCCAAAGGACAGUCAAAAAAAAAUCUGAGCAAUUUUUAUUUCUAUGAAAGAGAUACAGGGUCAUAUGAAAGUGAAAGAGAAAUCCUUUAUUUACAAUAUGCCCUUCUGAAUUAUUUGGAUUUUGUUUUAUAAAGAGGUGUUAUUACUAACACUGUAAAAAAUUCCUUUCUAAAAGUUUAACUAAUCGCCAUGAUAUUAACAGAAAUUAUUAGAUGUAGCUCUCCCUGGACAAAGUAAAGUAACAUCUUCCUAACACAGUAAGAUCAGUGGCAUAAAUGUUCCCAAAGCAGAAUCCACCGUGUGGCAAAAUCUCUAAAGUUUCUUUCCAGGAAUAAGAGGAUGCUGUCUUUCCUGGUCCCCUUGCUACCUUAGUUGGUUCAGGAUGCUAUAAAAGAAUAGCAUAGACUGGGUGGCUUUUUAUCUCUUACAGUUCUGGAGGCUGGAACGAUGAGAUCAAGGUGCCAGCACGGUCAGGCUCCUGGUGAGGGCCCUCUCCUGGUUUACAGACAGUCACCUUCCUGCUGAAUUCUCAGAUUUCUCAGAGAGAGAGGAGACCAUUUCUCCUCUCUCUCUUUUCAUAGAAGCACCAAUCUCGUACAUAAGGGAUCCAGCUUCAUGACAUAAUUACCCACCUCCCGAAGUCCCCAUCUCCAAGUGCCAUCACAUUGGGGAUUAGAGCUUCAACACAGGAAUUUGGAGAAGUCACAAAACAUUCAGUCCAUAGAAUUACUUUAGAUCAUAUUUCUUCCUGUCUUUAAUCUAAAUAUAUGGUGAUUAUAGGAAGCUGAAUAAUAACACUAAGUUAAUUUUUCUCCUUCCUGAUACCACCUGUUCUUGGGUGGUAUUUGCCUUUAAGUGAAGGGAUGAAGGGAUCAUUCUAAUGGUUAUAAAUUCCAAUUUGAAUGUUAGGGAUGUUUGGGUUAGCCUUGAUUUCAGGAAAUAAUUCUAUAUACUUUUCUUUAAAUCUCCUGUUUGACAGCCAUUUUAAAUAUUCAGAAAUAAAAAUAGGUGGGGCACCUGGGUGGCUCAGUCAGUUAAGUGUCUCUGCCUUUAGUUUAGGGUCAUGAUCCUCAAAUCCUGGGAUUGAGUCUGGCAUCCAGCUCCCUGCUCAGCAGGGGGUCUGCUUCUACCUCAACCCCUUCCAUCCCCCCCGGCUUGUGAUAUCUCUCUCUCUCUCUCUCUCUCUCUCUCUCUCUCGUGCUUUCUCUCUCAUGCUCAAAUAAGUAAAUAAAAUAUUUUUUAAAAAGAUUGGUUAAAAAAAAGAUAUAAAAAUAGGCAAUAUUCAAAAAGAAACCCGAUUAUAGAGAAAUUAAGGGAAAAGCUACAGCAUUUUCAAUAUAGAAAUUCUUUUCAGUUUACAUGGCAUUUGCAAAAAGAAAUUUGGAAUUGAGCGAAUGAAUGAGUUUGAUGAAAGACACAUAAUUCAGUUGCCAAAGAUUCUCUGUACUGAUUGGGGAGGUAAAGGUAAUCUCAUACAGUAGAUAUAAAAUCAUACAUGCAUAGUUUCUUAUUUUGGUUGCAAGUCUAUAUCACAUGCGGUUAGGAUCACCCUAUGUAAAAGAGAAAGCACUCUUU
rnacentral:lncRNA from 1 species